GACGAACGCUGGCGGCGUGCUUAACACAUGCAAGUCGAACGGUAAGGCCCUGCUUUUGUGGGGUGCUCGAGUGGCGAACGGGUGAGUAACACGUGAGUAACCUGCCCUUGACUUUGGGAUAACUUCAGGAAACUGGGGCUAAUACCGGAUAGGAGCUCCUGCUGCAUGGUGGGGGUUGGAAAGUUUCGGCGGUUGGGGAUGGACUCGCGGCCUUCCAGCUUGUUGGUGGGGUAGUGGCUUACCAAGGCUUUGACGGGUAGCCGGCCUGAGAGGGGGAACGGGCCCCAUUGGGACUGAGAUACGGCCCGAACUCCUCCGGGGGGCGGCAGUGGGGAAUAUGGCACAAGGGGCGGAGGCCUAAUGCAGCACGGCCGGGGGCGGAAUGACGGCCUUCGGGUUGUAAACCGCUUUCGCCUGUGACGAAGCGUUUGUGACGGUAAUGGGUAAAGAAGCACCGGCUAACUACGUG
rnacentral:rRNA from 1 species